rnacentral:rRNA from 1 species
UACAGAGGUCUCAAGCGUUGUUCGGAUUCAUUGGGCGUAAAGGGUGCGUAGGCGGCGCGGUAAGUCGGGGGUGAAAUCUUGGAGCUUAACUCCGAAACUGCAUUCGAUACUGCCGUGCUUGAGGACUGGAGAGGAGACUGGAAUUUACGGUGUAGCGGUGAAAUGCGUAGAGAUCAUGAGGAAGACCAGUGGCGAAGGCGGGUCUCUGGACAGUUCCUGACACUGAGACACGAAGGCCAGGGGAGCAAACGGG